ensembl:snoRNA
ACUGCACCUAAAGAAGUUAGCUGCAGGUGUGGCUGCUGUGUCACAUGUUUGUCAGUAGGUUGCAGAGAGGAGAGAGGCUAUGUCUGUACUCAGUGGUUGACCUAUUAACAUCUGAAUGAUUAGUUAGCCUAACAUU